rnacentral:misc_RNA from 1 species
UGCCUGUGUAAUCAAACCUAUGUGAUCUCAUGACGUUCGAUCAGUUUUAUCCCGCUCUAAAUGAGCUAUUAUUGUUCGAAUUUUAAAGUUAAGGAAGGUUUCCAGCGUUUAUUAUGGGUCCUCUUCGUGCGGGCGCCGAGAGAAUGGAAGUCCUUAAUGUAGAUUAGCUGGAUAAUCUGUGAGAGAUUUGAACGCCUUAUUUACAAUUAACAAAACAAUUUGACCAUUCAUAACCUGUAAGUAAGCCUCUGGUUACUGUGGUGUAUUGGCCUUGGUAAGCGAGGAAAGAAGAGAGCCAAAACCGUUAUCAAGAUCUCUGAUCGUCUUUAAGUUAACUGACGAGUGUGCAUCUUUCCAUUUCUUGCAGUUGCCGUUGUCAAGUGAAGCAGUGUUGGUCUAGCUACGAUCUGAGCGAAGAAUGGGCGAGUUUAAAGUUACUCACAACUAUGUGUUACAGAAUAAUGUGAGAUACAUGUACAGCGGACUGCCGCUAUCGCUGAGAUACAGAGGAAGUGGAGACUACCCAAACUUUGACAUGCUCAGAAUCAACAGAGAAAACUCGGACUUGAAGAAACUGGUCCUCCAGUCUCACGAGUACCAGCGGCGCAUGAACACGUUCCUGAUCCCCAAGGCGCCAGCCUUUCGGAAGUACACAAACCACGCGGUGGAUCCCGUGGUGGACCGCCUUUUGAAGCCGACCAUAGCGCGAGAAGGGUUCUCCCCGGAAAAGCACUCCGACAAGUUCCGGUGUGCGCGGGAUUACGUCACGGCUGCUGAAACCUACCCACAUGAGCACGCUGAAACAGCGCCUGCCCCCGCCGCCACUGCGCCAGGAUCCAGACCGCUCCAGGGUAGUCCAAAUGCACAGUAUGCCAAUCGUGGACGGAUGACCGGGACGUCUCAUAGAGAAUCAUCUAAAUAUACGCAACAACAACGACCGUCUUAUAAAAGAAGAAAUUAUGAAGAAAAAAAUAUUGUUGAAUCAAGUAGCCGUGCGUGCAUCAACUUUAUAAUAAACUUCUAUUUUUUAUUCACUAAAUUCAUACCUUAAAAUUGGAAAAAGUAUUUUAUGCUCAUAUUCACCUAUUUUUAUUUAUUUCAUAUUUGUUGCAAUAUUUUAUGUUGUCAAUUAAAACAAUUGUAUACUAUGUAUUUAUUUCUUUGUACUCUUAAUAUAUAUUUCGUGUAAAUUAUGCUUUGAAGAUAAAUAUAUAAAAUAGAGA